CCUACGGGCGGCUGCAGUGGGGAAUAUUGCACAAUGGGGGAAACCCUGAUGCAGCGACGCCGCGUGAGUGAAGAAGUAAUUCGGUAUGUAAAGCUCUAUCAGCAGGGAAGAAAAUGACGGUACCUGAGUAAGAAGCCCCGGCUAACUACGUGCCAGCAGCCGCGGUAAUACGUAGGGGGCAAGCGUUAUCCGGAUUGACUGGGUGUAAAGGGAGCGUAGACGGCAGUGCAAGUCUGGAGUGAAAGGCGGGGGCUCAACCCCCGGACUGCUCUGGAAACUGUACGGCUGGAGUGCAGGAGAGGUAAGUGGAAUUCCUAGUGUAGCGGUGAAAUGCGUAGAUAUUAGGAGGAACACCAGUGGCGAAGGCGGCUUACUGGACUGUAACUGACGUUGAGGCUCGAAAGCGUGGGGAGCAAACAGGAUUAGAUACCCUUGUAGUC
rnacentral:rRNA from 1 species